AAACACUUAUUUUUCAUUACUGCCUGCAUUUCUGUUUAAUGCUUCAGCACUCUUGGUUUCAGUCCCCUUCAUCUGUUUGUCAAAGUUAUGCUUUGGAUGUGAUGUUAACCUGUCAGAAGAAAACUUUGGUCUAUGAUUAUGAUAUCCGAUAACCAAGAGCAGGUGAAGUUGGUUCAACUGGUCAACCAGCAGCAGGUGUUUAUGUCGAUUAGAGACACCAUCUAAAGUGACUUGCAACAAUUCAAAUAAACUUAUAAUGAAUAUUUGAGUGGUUUUAUAUAGGUACAAUACCUUUAAAGGUCUAUUGUUCCCAGGAGGAAAAGUAAUGAAGGGAGAAAGAAGGGACACAAAAGUGAAGGAAGAUUUUAAAACCUAAGGGUUAUAGCGAGCAGUUGCAUUGUGGCUAGAAGCUUGAGAAGGGGCAGCAUUGCUAAACAUGAAAAGAAUUAUUGUAGCUCAGGGCAUAAUGUUGCAAGAAAGGGCCAUCGUCUGAAAGGUAAUCUACAGCUGUACAAUAUCCUUUGUUUUUCCUUUGUGGAUAAUCUAUAAGAUGGCGACUUAGCAAUACACUUGCUAGAGCAUUAAAAUUAAGAGGUGAUAUAGAAUGGAGAUGUAAAAGAGAGCAUGGGCCUCUCGGAAUGCCAUAGGAUAAGUCCAUUUUCUAUGAAGAAAUGCUAGAACAUUAGAAUCAAAUUACUUCAAACUUAAUCCUGGUUAGUGACUUAACUACCAAAUUUCUAGAUAAAAGA
rnacentral:lncRNA from 1 species